GACGGGCGGUGUGUACAAGACCCGGGAACGUAUUCACCGCAGCGUUGCUGAUCUGCGAUUACUAGCGACUCCGACUUCAUGAGGUCGAGUUGCAGACCUCAAUCCGAACUGGGACCGGCUUUUUGGGAUUCGCUCCACCUUACGGUAUUGCAGCCCUUUGUACCGGCCAUUGUAGCAUGCGUGAAGCCCAAGACAUAAGGGGCAUGAUGAUUUGACGUCAUCCCCACCUUCCUCCGAGUUGACCCCGGCAGUAUCCCAUGAGUUCCCACCAUUACGUGCUGGCAACAUAGAACGAGGGUUGCGCUCGUUGCGGGACUUAACCCAACAUCUCACGACACGAGCUGACGACAACCAUGCACCACCUGUUUACGAGUGUCCAAAGAGUUCUACAUUUCUGCAGCGUUCUCGUAUAUGUCAAGCCUUGGUAAGGUUCUUCGCGUUGCAUCGAAUUAAUCCGCAUGCUCCGCCGCUUGUGCGGGUCCCCGUCAAUUCCUUUGAGUUUUAGCCUUGCGGCCGUACUCCCCAGGCGGGGAACUUAAUGCGUUAGCUGCGUCACGGAAUCCGUGGAAUGGACCCCACAACUAGUUCCCAACGUUUACGGGGUGGACUACCAGGGUAUCUAAGCCUGUUUGCUCCCCACCCUUUCGCUCCUCAGCGUCAGUUACGGCCCAGAGAUCUGCCUUCGCCAUCGGUGUUCCUCCUGAUAUCUGCGCAUUCCACCGCUACACCAGGAAUUCCAAUCUCCCCUACCGCACUCUAGUCUGCCCGUACCCACUGCAGACCCGAGGUUGAGCCUCGGGAUUUCACAGCAGACGCGACAAACCGCCUACGAGCUCUUUACGCCCAAUAAUUCCGGAUAACGCUUGCGCCCUACGUAUUACCGCGGCUGCUGGCACGUAGUUAGCCGGCGCUUUUUCUGCAGGUACCGUCACUCACGCUUCUUCCCUGCUAAAAGAGGUUUACAACCCGAAGGCCGUCAUCCCUCACGCGGCGUUGCUGCAUCAGGCUUUCGCCCAUUGUGCAAUAUUCCCCACUGCUGCCUCCCGUAGGAGUCUGGGCCGUGUCUCAGUCCCAGUGUGGCCGGUCACCCUCUCAGGCCGGCUACCCGUCGACGCCUUGGUGAGCCAUUACCUCACCAACAAGCUGAUAGGCCGCGAGCUCAUCCCUGACCAAAAAAUCUUUCCAACCGUUGAAGAUGCCUCCACGGUUCGUAUCCAGUAUUAGACGCCGUUUCCAGCGCUUAUCCCAGAGUCAGGGGCAGAUUGCUCACGUGUUACUCACCCGUUCGCCACUGAUCCACCCAGCAAGCUGGGCU
rnacentral:rRNA from 1 species